CCGAGAUAGGGGUACAUAUUCUGCCACUGGCGAUUCCCUGGACCUUAGCGAUGAUGGGCAACCUAGCGACGACUCUCGGCGUCCUAAGGGAGAGAAUACCGUUCGCGGCGGAGUCUCCCAGGAC
rnacentral:sRNA from 12 species